AGUCGCCAGGCACCGGCCACGGCGCACGCCAACAUCCAGGAUAAUUCUCCUUUCCAAGCCCGGGAGUUCCGGGGCAGGCGAAAAAGGGGGGAUGGGAGACCCACAGUCCCUUUAACCCUCCCCCCUGGCCUGCCAACCUUUUCCGAACCCCCAUGUCACACAACUUCCUCAUCAUGGAAACUUCCACUGGGUUCGGCGCUGAGGAUGCCAAACUCCAUUUCACAAGGAACAUGUCAACAGCUGGGCUUGGGGUUUGAGGAACAGAGCCGCUGCGAUUGGAACAGAGCCCGGCCACCCUGUUCCACCACUGUCCACUCCGUAGCUCCCAGCCUGCCGCCGCGCGGUGCCCGAACACGAGAGGGCACCUCCUCCCAGAUCCGGGGCGCAGAAGCCCCGCGGAGGCAGGUAGAAGAUUCUGAGGCCCUGGGCGGGAACUAGUAAGCCACAAUCUGGAAGAGUCUUUUACCACCAUGUGGAGGAGAACUAGAGCACUCAUGUUGAACUAUUACCGAGAAAAGUAAUCAACUUCUUUUGUGUUAAGUCACUGAAAGGCAAGUGUUGAUUUGUUGCAGUAAUUGGUGCUCCCUUAACACACCUGUCAGCCGGGCCAAACUCUAUCACAGCAUAAAUAAUCUUUUCCUUAAAUAAAUACAGGUAAAAGAAUAAAGUAGACCUAAAUGCAUUAAUAUGAAUAUAGGCUCAAAGCAAAAUGUUGGGCUAUAAAUGUUCAGAGUGAUAAUUUUUUAAGUUGAUGUGUAAUUUAGUACAGUAAAAUAGAUAAAACCUAAAUGUUCAGUUCAAUGAAUUUUUACAUGUUCAUGCCCCUGUAUAAUCACCUCCCAGAACAACAUAGAAAAUACUUCAUAUAAAUGGAAUCAUACAGUG